UUGACGGGGGCCCGCACAAGCGGUGGAGCAUGUGGUUUAAUUCGACGCAACGCGAAGAACCUUACCAGGGCUUGACAUCCCCUGACCGCGUAUGAAAGUACGUUUCACCCUCGGGUGACAGGGAGACAGGUGGUGCAUGGUUGUCGUCAGCUCGUGUCGUGAGAUGUUGGGUUAAGUCCCGCAACGAGCGCAACCCUUAUCCUUUGUUGCCAGCGGUCCGGCCGGGAACUCAAAGGAGACUGCCAGUGAUAAACUGGAGGAAGGUGGGGAUGACGUCAAGUCAUCAUGGCCCUUACGACCAGGGCUACACACGGGCUACAAUGGCGCAUACAAAGAGAAGCGACCUCGCGAGAGCAAGCGGACCUCAUAAAGUGCGUCGUAGUCCGGAUUGGAGUCUGCAACUCGACUCCAUGAAGUCGGAAUCGCUAGUAAUCGUGGAUCAGAAUGCCACGGUGAAUACGUUCCCGGGCCUU
rnacentral:rRNA from 1 species